UGUUAAUAUUUCUAUGUUGUUUUAUUUAUGUAUUGUUAAAUUGUUCACAAAUAAGUGAGGUGUUGCUUUGGGGCUUCUAAUAUUUGUGCUAUUUUCUCUCGUCACGAUUAACAAAAUAAAAACAAAAAUCUGAAAAUCUUUCCAUGAUCUUGAAAAAUGUCCAAGUCAACUGUAUCUGUAUCAGUAUUGGCGAUAAGUGUAUUUUGUUAUUGGGUUGAUCCCAAAAUGUGUAUUAUCGCCCACUUCUGGCCAGCAGGACAUCCCAAAUACUGUAUCCUUCACUAAAAAAGGGGGAGACCUUAACCAUCUCUGCAGGCAUCUCAAGGAGGUCAUUAAAACUCCAGGAAGAGAACAAGCCUGGAAUAAUAUGACUUAUUCACCAGGCUGUCACAGACCUGCGCUAAAGAAAGUGGUUGCCAUGGCGACUACAAAGCUGCUAUCCAGCCUGUUAAGUGGACAUCAAGCACCAAAUGAAGACCACCAAAGAGCACAUUUUUAGCCCCCUGACCACAGCGCCAUUGUCCUCAAAUGUGCCCAGAGCUCCCCAAAAAAAUUCUGAGACACUUAUGGGGCUUUGGCACUGUUCCUCAUUCCCACUACUUUGUUCCUCUUGAUGGAUUUGAGCGGCCCAGGGAACCGUGACCCCGCCAGCCCACCCCGACUGCGUGGACAAACGUGCUGAAAGAGGAUCUUGGAAUCAAAGUCUCAUCCCUGACAGAGAUUACCAACGCGCUGUGAGUGUGGUCACUGCUUUCAUUAUGUCCGUUCUCAUAAGUUAGCCAUGUGUGAUGGGCGACAACCAGAGUCUAGACUGCGGCCUAUUCAGCUGCUCCCGAGCACCUGUUGCCACAUGGGCUCAGCCGUGAACUUGAACAAGAAAGAGAGAAGAAGAAGAAGAUGAAUGAAAACUCUAAUUAACAGACCUCCUUCCAGGCCCUUCACUUUGUCUUAUCUGCGUUUACCAGUGGUCAUGUGACAUGCAGGUGCCCCACUAUGUAGCAUGCAUGCAAGCCUGGCACACUUUAAAAAAAAAACUUUCACAAAAGACAAGAUCACUUUUGCUAUCUUGUCAUUAUUUAAGCAGAGGAAGA